rnacentral:rRNA from 1 species
CCUACGGGAGGCAGCAGUGAGGAAUAUUGGUCAAUGGACGCGAGUCUGAACCAGCCAAGUAGCGUGAAGGAUGACUGCCCUAUGGGUUGUAAACUUCUUUUAUAUGGGAAUAAAGUGUUCCACGUGUGGUGUUUUGUAUGUACCUUAUGAAUAAGGAUCGGCUAACUCCGUGCCAGCAGCCGCGGUAAUACGGAGGAUCCGAGCGUUAUCCGGAGUUAUUGGGUGUAAAGGGAGCGUAGGUGGAUUGUUAAGUCAGUUGUGAAAGUUUGCGGCUCAACCGUAAAAUUGCAGUUGAAACUGGCAGGCUUGAGUACAGUAGAGGUAGGCGGAAUUCGUGGUGUAGCGGUGAAAUGCUUAGAUAUCACGAAGAACUCCGAUUGCGAAGGCAGCCUACUGGACUGCAACUGACACUGAGGCUCGAAAGUGUGGGUAUCAAACAGGAUUAGAUACCCGUGUAGUC